rnacentral:rRNA from 1 species
GAUGAACGCUGACAGAAUGCUUAACACAUGCAAGUCAACUUGAAUUUGGGUUUUUACCUUAGGUUUGGGUGGCGGACGGGUGAGUAACGCGUAAAGAACUUGCCUCACAGCUAGGGACAACAUUUGGAAACGAAUGCUAAUACCCAAUAUUAUGAUAAUAGGGCAUCCUAUAAUUAUGAAAGCUAUAAGCGCUGUGAGAGAGCUUUGCGUCCCAUUAGCUAGUUGGAGAGGUAACGGCUCACCAAGGCGAUGAUGGGUAGCCGGCCUGAGAGGGUGAUCGGCCACAAGGGGACUGAGACACGGCCCUUACUCCUACGGGAGGCAGCAGUGGGGAAUAUUGGACAAUGGACCGAGAGUCUGAUCCAGCAAUUCUGUGUGCACGAUGAAGUUUUUCGGAAUGUAAAGUGCUUUCAGUUGGGAAGAAACAAAUGACGGUACCAACAGAAGAAGUGACGGCUAAAUACGUG